rnacentral:rRNA from 1 species
UACGUAGGGGGCUAGCGUUGUCCGGAUUUAUUGGGCGUAAAGAGCGUGUAGGCGGCCAGGUAGGUCUGCUGUGAAAACUCGAGGCUCAACCUCGAGACGUCGGCGGAAACCAUCUGGCUAGAGUCCGGAAGAGGAGAGUGGAAUUCCUGGUGUAGCGGUGAAAUGCGCAGAUAUCAGGAGGAACACCGGUGGCGAAGGCGGCAUCCUGGACCAAUACUGACACUGAGGAGCGAAAGCCAGGGGAGCAAACGGG